GACGAACGCUGGCGGCGUGCUUAACACAUGCAAGUCGAACGGUAAGGCCCUUCGGGGUACACGAGUGGCGAACGGGUGAGCAACACGUGGGUGAUCUGCCCUGCACUUCGGGAUAAGACUGGGAAACUGGGUCUAAUACCGGAUAGGACUCCUGGCUUCAUGGUUGGGGGUGGAAAGCUUUUGCGGUGUGGGAUGGGCCCGCGGCCUAUCAGCUUGUUGGUGGGGUAAUGGCCUACCAAGGCGACGACGGGUAGCCGGCCUGAGAGGGUGACCGGUCACACUGGGACUGAGAUACGGCCCAGACUCCUACGGGAGGCAGCAGUGGGGAAUAUUGCACAAUGGGCGCAAGCCUGAUGCAGCGACGCCGCGUGAGGGAUGACGGCCUUCGGGUUGUAAACCUCUUUCAGCUAUGACGAAGCGCAAGUGACGGUAGUAGCAGAAGAAGGACCGGCCAACUACGUGCCAGCCGCCGCGGUAA
rnacentral:rRNA from 1 species